GGACCUUCCGACCGGAAUCAACCUCUGCAGUGUCUUGAUCUGAAAGUCACAGACUGUCCUAAACCCAGAAACAACUAUUUCUGUGGUGAAGGUCUUCCUAAUAACCCACCUGCCUUCACUUGCAAGGGGGACUCCGGUGGAGGCUGGCUGAAGAAGAGGUUUGGGAGAACGAGUGUGAUCUAUGGAGUUCACAGAGGUUCAUAUAAUACUUCUAGCACAAUUGCUUAUUCCACAAGUGUGUGUGCUCCUCAUAUCAGGGAGUGGAUAAAUGAUAUCAUGACUAAUCACUGAAACAGCACGUCCCAUAUGAGUCCUAUAUGAAGCUGUAACAGUA